AACAGGAUUAGAUACCCUGGUAGUCCAUGCCGUAAACGAUGAGUGCUAGGUGUUGGAGGGUUUCCGCCCUUCAGUGCCGGAGCUAACGCAUUAAGCACUCCGCCUGGGGAGUACGACCGCAAGGUUGAAACUCAAAGGAAUUGACGGGGGCCCGCACAAGCGGUGGAGCAUGUGGUUUAAUUCGAAGCUACGCGAAGAACCUUACCAGGUCUUGACAUCUUGCGCUAACCUAAGAGAUUAGGCGUUCCCUUCGGGGACGCAAUGACAGGUGGUGCAUGGUCGUCGUCAGCUCGUGUCGUGAGAUGUUGGGUUAAGUCCCGCAACGAGCGCAACCCUUGUUACUAGUUGCCAGCAUUCAGUUGGGCACUCUAGUGAGACUGCCGGUGACAAACCGGAGGAAGGUGGGGAUGACGUCAGAUCAUCAUGCCCCUUAUGACCUGGGCUACACACGUGCUACAAUGGUCGGUACAACGAGUCGCUAACCCCCGAGGGCAAGCUAAUCUCUUAAAGCCGAUCUCAGUUCGGACUGUAGGCUGCAACUCGCCUACACGAAGUCGGAAUCGCUAGUAAUCGCGGAUCAGCAUGCCGCGGUGAAUACGUUCCCGGGCCUUGUACACACCGCCCGUCACACCAUGGAAGUUUGUAACGCCCAAAGUCGGUGGCCUAACCAUUUGGAGGGAGCCGCCUAAGGCGGGACAGAUGACUGGGGUGAAGUCGUAACAAGGUAACC
rnacentral:rRNA from 1 species